rnacentral:rRNA from 1 species
UACGAAGGGGGCUAGCGUUGCUCGGAAUCACUGGGCGUAAAGGGUGCGUAGGCGGGUCUUUAAGUCAGGGGGGAAAUCCUGGAGCUCAACUCCAGAACUGCCUUUGAUACUGAAGAUCUUGAGUUCGGGAGAGGUGAGUGGAACUGCGAGUGUAGAGGUGAAAUUCGUAGAUAUUCGCAAGAACACCAGUGGCGAAGGCGGCUCACUGGCCCGAUACUGACGCUGAGGCACGGAAGCGUGGGGAGCAAACAGG